UACGAACCGUACAAACGUUAUUCGGAAUCACUGGGCUUAAAGGGUGCGUAGGCGGCCAUGUAAGUGAGGUGUGAAAUCCCUCGGCUCAACCGAGGAACUGCGCUUCAUACUGCAUGGCUUGAGGGAGACAGGGGUAAGCGGAACUGAUGGUGGAGCGGUGAAAUGCGUUGAUAUCAUCAGGAACACCGGUGGCGAAAGCGGCUUACUGGGUCUCUUCUGGACGGCUGAGGUACGAAAGCUAGGGUAGCGAACGGG
rnacentral:rRNA from 1 species